GUCUCGGUGGCGCAAUGGUAGCGCGUUGGACUUCUACUGUUUUCAAAACCGUUUGGUAAUUGAUUUACUUUGCACAAAAACGGUUAUCCAAAGGCUGCGGGUUCGAGCCCCGCCCGAGAUG